CAGGACACCUAUUUAAAUUUGAGUUUCAAAUAAAUGAUGAAUCAUUUUUUAGCAUAAGUAUAUCGUAUGCAAUAUUUAGGGCAUACUUAUGCUAAAAAUGAUUUGCUGUUAUCUGAAAGUCAAAUUUAAUUGAACAUUCUGUA
rnacentral:miRNA from 1 species